UACGUAGGGGGCAAGCGUUGUCCGGAAUUAUUGGGCGUAAAGAGCGUGUAGGCGGUCCGGUAAGUCGGCUGUGAAAGUCCAGGGCUCAACCCUGGGAUGCCGGUCGAUACUGCCGGACUAGAGUUCGGAAGAGGCGAGUGGAAUUCCCGGUGUAGCGGUGAAAUGCGCAGAUAUCAGGAAGAACACCCGUGGCGAAGGCGGUUCUCUGGGACGGUACAGACGCUGAGACGCGAAAGCGUGGGGAGCGAACAGG
rnacentral:rRNA from 1 species